GACGAACGCUGGCGGCGUGCUUAACACAUGCAAGUCGAACGGAAAGGCCCUGCUUUUGUGGGGUGCUCGAGUGGCGAACGGGUGAGUAACACGUGAGUAACCUGCCCUUGACUUUGGGAUAACUUCAGGAAACUGGGGCUAAUACCGGAUAGGAGCUCCUGCUGCAUGGUGGGGGUUGGAAAGUUUCGGCGGUUGGGGAUGGACUCGCGGCUUAUCAGCUUGUUGGUGGGGUAGUGGCUUACCAAGGCUUUGACGGGUAGCCGGCCUGGGAGGGUGACCGGCGACAUUGGGACUGAGAGAGGGCCCAGACUCAUACGGGAGGCAGCAGUGGGGAAUAUUGCACAAUGGGAGGAAGCCUGAUGGAGAAACGCCGAGUGCGGGAUGACGGCCUUAGGGUUGUAAACCGCUUUGGCAUGUGACGAAGCGUGAGUGACGGUAAUGGGUAAAGAAGCACCGGCUAACUACGUG
rnacentral:rRNA from 1 species